rnacentral:rRNA from 1 species
ACGGGAGGCAGCAGUGGGGAAUAUUGCACAAUGGGGGAAACCCUGAUGCAGCAACGCCGCGUAAGUGAAGAAGUAUUUCGGUAUGUAAAGCUCUAUCAGCAGGGAAGAUAAUGACGGUACCUGACUAGGAAGCACCGGCUAAAUACGUGCCAGCAGCCGCGGUAAUACGUAUGGUGCAAGCGUUAUCCGGAUUUACUGGGUGUAAAGGGUGCGUAGGUGGCAUGGUAAGUCAGAUGUGAAAUACCGGGGCUCAACCCCGGGGCUGCAUUUGAAACUGCCAGGCUGGAGUACAGGAGAGGCAAGCGGAAUUCCUAGUGUAGCGGUGAAAUGCGUAGAUAUUAGGAGGAACACCAGUGGCGAAGGCGGCUUGCUGGACUGUUACUGACACUGAGGCACGAAAGCGUGGGGAGCAAACAGGAUUAGAUACCCUGGUA